CUACGGUAGUUAGCAUUCACUGAGACACUGAGUCUGAUUCAGUAACAGUGACAUUUAAAAUCGUAUUCUAUGAUUGCAAGCUCGAACUCGAGUCGGUGAAUUAUCUGACCAUUUCUACAUUAAAAUGAAUUCCUCUGGUAAAGACGAUGAUGUAACUAUUCAGUUUCGUAAUUGCAGAAGGUUCCUAGAUGGUAAAAUUGUUUCAAAUCAGCAACUUCUAGUGAGGAACGGAAAGAUUAUUGACCCUGAACCGGUAUUUUAUUGCGAGAAAAAGAAACCCACAACAGUUGUUGAUUGCAAAAAUGCUUUACUUGUUCCAGGCUUCAUUGAUGUCCAGAUAAAUGGUGGCUAUGGCUUUGACUUCUCAUCUGACCCCACAAAAGUGGCUGAGGCAGUCAGUGUUGUCUCCAAGGGGCUCUUGUCCACAGGCGUCACAUCAUUCUGCCCCACGCUUGUCACUUCUCCUCCUGAGCUCUACAAAAAGGUGUUGCCGCAGCUGAGCCGUAGACCAGGCAGCAGAGCAGGCGCAGCUGUCCUGGGGGCUCACGUUGAAGGUCCCUUCAUCAACCCUGAGAAGAAAGGUGCUCAUCCUCCUGAACACAUGCUCACUUUUGCCAAGGGCCCUGGAGUGCUGGAGGAGGUGUACGGGUCGCUGGAGCACGUGGCCAUGAUAACUCUCGCCCCUGAGCUGCCUGGAGCUGAGCAGGCCGUUGAGUUCCUCGCCCAGCGUCGCGUUGUUGUGUCUGUCGGUCAUUCGAGUGGCAGCCUGGAGCAGGGAGAAGCAGCGGUGGUGGCUGGCGCUUCAUUCAUCACGCAUCUUUUUAAUGCCAUGCUGCCGUUCCAUCACCGAGACCCUGGCCUAGUGGGACUGCUCACUAGCAAGGUGGUACCUCGUCCCGUGUACUACGGCAUCAUAUCUGAUGGAGUGCACACCCACCCUGCUGCCCUCAGGAUAGCCCACCGCACCCACCCUGGUGGUUUGGUGUUGAUCACGGACGCGAUGGCAGCGCUGGGGCUGGGAGAGGGCGAGCACAACAUCGGGCAGCUGGCGGUGGAGGUGCGGGGCCGCCGCGCCUUCCUGCCCGGCACCGACACGCUGGCCGGCAGCAUUGCCACCAUGGACGAGUGUAUCAGGCGCUUCAUCAAGGUGCUGCUGCAUCCUGUCUGUCUGUACUGAUGAUACGUAGCGUUACUGCCACCAUGGACGAGUGUAUCAGGCGCUUCAUCAAGGCUGCGGGUGUGAGCCUCGAGGAAGGUGUGAGAGCGGCGACAGAGCACCCGGCCCGGCUGCUGGGCCUGGC
rnacentral:misc_RNA from 1 species